rnacentral:rRNA from 1 species
AAUGGGGGAUAACGUAGCGAAAGUUACGCUAAUACCGCAUAUGCCCUGAGGGGGAAAGUGGGGGAUCGCAAGACCUCACGUUUUCGGAGCGGCCGAUAUCGGAUUAGCUAGUAGGUUGGGUAAAGGCUGACCUAGGCGACGAUCCGUAGCUGGUCUGAGAGGACGACCAGCCACACUGGGACUGAGACACGGCCCAGACUCCUACGGGAGGCAGCAGUGGGGAAUUUUGGACAAUGGGGGCAACCCUGAUCCAGCCAUGCCGCGUGAGUGAAGAAGGCCUUCGGGUUGUAAAGCUCUUUCGGACAGAAAGAAAUCGCCAUUCCUAAUACGAGUGGUGGAUGACGGUACUGUAAGAAGAAGCACCGGCUAACUACGUGCCAGCAGCCGCGGUAAUACGUAGGGUGCGAGCGUUAAUCGGAAUUACUGGGCGUAAAGCGUGCGCAGGCGGUUUCGUAAGACAGACGUGAAAUCCCCGGGCUUAACCUGGGAACUGCGUUUGUGACUGCGAGGCUAGAGUGUAGCAGAGGGGGGUAGAAUUCCA